rnacentral:rRNA from 1 species
GUAAAGCGUACGCAGGNGGNUACGCAAGACAGAUGUGAAAUCCCCGGGCUCAACCUGGGAACUGCAUUUGUGACUGCAUGACUUGAGUACGGUAGAGGGGGAUGGAAUUCCGCGUGUAGCAGUGAAAUGCGUAGAUAUGCGGAGGAACACCGAUGGCGAAGGCAAUCCCCUGGACCUGUACUGACGCUCAGGCACGAAAGCGUGGGGAGCAAACAGGAUUAGAUACCCUGGUAGUCCACGCCCUAAACGAUGUCANCUGGUUGUUGGGAGGGUUUCUUCUCAGNAACGAAGCUAACGCGUGAAGUUGACCCUCUGGGGAGUACGGNCGCAAGUUGUAAACUCAAAGGAAUUGA